rnacentral:rRNA from 1 species
GUUGAUAAGGUUAAGUGAAUAAGGGCGCACGGUGGAUGCCUUGGCACUAGGAGCCGAUGAAGGACGGGACUAACACCGAUAUGCUUUGGGGAGCUGUACGUAAGCUAUGAUCCAGAGAUUUCCGAAUGGGGGAACCCAACAUCUUUAAUAGGAUGUUACGAUUGUGUGAAUACAUAGCACAUUCGAGGUAGACGCAGAGAACUGAAACAUCUAAGUACCUGCAGGAAGAGAAAGAAAAUUCGAUUCCCUGAGUAGCGGCGAGCGAAACGGGAAAAGCCCAAACCAGCAAGCUUGCUUGUUGGGGUUGUAGGACUCCAAUAUGGUAGUUCUUUCAGAUAGUCGAAUGACUUGGAAAAGUCAGUCAAAGAGGGUAAAAACCCCGUAGACGAAAUGUGGAAGACACCUAGGAGGAUCCUGAGUACGGCGGAACACGAGAAAUUCCGUCGGAAUCCGGGAGGACCAUCUCCCAAGGCUAAAUACUCCCUAGUGACCGAUAGUGAACCAGUACCGUGAGGGAAAGGUGAAAAGCACCCCGGAAGGGGAGUGAAAUAGAACCUGAAACCGUGUGCCUACAACAAGUCAAAGCCCGUUAAUGGGUGAUGGCGUGCCUUUUGUAGAAUGAACCGGCGAGUUACGAUUGCAUGCGAGGUUAAGUUGAAGAGACGGAGCCGCAGCGAAAGCGAGUCUGAAUAGGGCGUUUGAGUAUGUAGUCGUAGACCCGAAACCAUGUGAUCUACCCAUGUCCAGGUUGAAGGUGCGGUAAAACGCACUGGAGGACCGAACCCACGUACGUUGAAAAGUGCGGGGAUGAGGUGUGGGUAGCGGAGAAAUUCCAAACGAACUUGGAGAUAGCUGGUUCUCUCCGAAAUAGCUUUAGGGCUAGCCUCGGAAUUGAGAAUGAUGGAGGUAGAGCACUGUUUGGACUAGGGGCCCAUCUCGGGUUACCGAAUUCAGAUAAACUCCGAAUGCCAUUCAUUCAUAUCCGGGAGUCAGACUGUGAGUGAUAAGAUCCAUAGUCGAAAGGGAAACAGCCCAGACCACCAGCUAAGGUCCCAAAAUAUAUGUUAAGUGGAAAAGGAUGUGGGGUUGCACAGACAACUAGGAUGUUGGCUUAGAAGCAGCCACCAUUUAAAGAGUGCGUAAUAGCUCACUAGUCGAGUGACCCUGCGCCGAAAAUGUACCGGGGCUAAACAUAUUACCGAAGCUGUGGAGUACACCUUUAGGUGUAUUGGUAGGAGAGCGUUCUAAGGGCGUUGAAGGCAGAUCGUGAGGACUGCUGGAGCGCUUAGAAGUGAGAAUGCCGGUAUGAGUAGCGAAAGACAGGUGAGAAUCCUGUCCACCGAAUGACUAAGGUUUCCUGGGGAAGGCUCGUCCGCCCAGGGUUAGUCGGGACCUAAGCCGAGGCCGACAGGCGUAGGCGAUGGAUAACAGGUUGAUAUUCCUGUACCCGUUGUUUUUGUUUGAGCAAUGGAGGGACGCAGGAGGCUAAGGAAUGCAGACGAUCGGAAAUGUCUGUCCAAGCAG